CCUACGGGUGGCAGCAGUGGGGAAUAUUGCACAAUGGGGGAAACCCUGAUGCAGCGACGCCGCGUGAGUGAAGAAGUAUCUCGGUACGUAAAGCUCUAUCAGCAGGGAAGAAAAUGACGGUACCUGACUAAGAAGCCCCGGCUAACUAGGUGCCAGCAGCCGCGGUAAUACGUAGGGGGCAAGCGUUAUCCGGAUUUACUGGGUGUAAAGGGAGCGUAGACGGCUGCACAAGUCUGGAGUGAAAGUCUGGGGCGUAACCCUGGAACUGCUUUGGAAACUGUGCGGCUGGAGUGCAGGAGGGGUAAGCGGAAUUCGUGGUGUAGCGGUGAAAUGCGUAGAUAUCAGGAGGAACACCGGUGGCGAAGGCGGCUUACUGGACUGUAACUGACGUUGAGGCUCGAAAGCGUGGGGAGCAAACAGGAUUAGAUACCCGGGUAGUC
rnacentral:rRNA from 1 species